rnacentral:rRNA from 1 species
GAUGAACGCUGGCGGCGUGCCUAAUACAUGCAAGUCGAGCGAAUGGAUUAAGAGCUUGCUCUUAUGAAGUUAGCGGCGGACGGGUGAGUAACACGUGGGUAACCUGCCCAUAAGACUGGGAUAACUCCGGGAAACCGGGGCUAAUACCGGAUAACAUUUUGAACCGCAUGGUUCGAAAUUGAAAGGCGGCUUCGGCUGUCACUUAUGGAUGGAUCCGCGUCGCAUUAGCUAGUUGGUGGGGGAACGACUCAGCAAGGCAACGAAGCGUAGCCGACCUGAGAGGGUGGUCGGCCACACUGGGACUGAGACACGGCCCAGACUCCUACGGGAGGCAGCAGUAGGGAAUAUUCCGCAAUGGACGAAAGUCUGACGGAGCAACGCCGCGUGAGUGAUGAAGGCUUUCGGGUCGUAAAACUCUGUUGUUAGGGAAGAACAAGUGCUAGUUGAAUAAGCUGGCACCUUGACGGUACCUAACCAGAAAGCCACGGCUAACUACGUGCCAGCAGCCGCCGUAA